rnacentral:lncRNA from 1 species
GAUAGUGGUAAGUCUCAUGAGAUCUGAUGGUUUUAUUAGGAGGAAUUUCCCUGCACAAGCUCUCAUUCUCUCUUGCCUGCCGCCAUGUAAGACAUGUCUUUGCUCCUGCUUCACCUUCUGCCAUGAUCAUGAGGCAUCCCCAGCCAUGUGGAACUGGUCUCACUUCACCCAGGCUGGAAUGCAGUGGUGUGAUCACAGCUCACUAUAGUCUCGAUCUCCUGGGCCUCCCACAUCAGCCUUCUGGAAUUCUGUGAAGCACAUGACCUCAAGUCUUUGGAUAAAUGGAAACGCAGCUUAUGCCGGAAAGAUGGAAGGCUGGCUGUACUAAUAUCAGAAAUGGAAGAGGAGAGACAUCACUAGAGAUCCCAUGGAUAUUGAAAGGAUAAUAAAGGAGUAUUAUGAGCAUUGU